UACGUAGGUGACGAGCGUUAUCCGGAAUUACUGGGCGUAAAGCGCACGCAAGCGGUCUAACAAGUCUGGCGUGAAAUCCUCUGGCUUAACCAGGGGCGGUCGCUGGAGACUGUUAAACUUGAGGCGAUGAGAGGGGUGCAGAAUUCCCGGUGUAGUGGUGGAAUGCGUAGAUAUCGGGGGGAAUACCAGUGGCGAAGGCGAGUCCCUGGACACUUCCUGACACUGAGGCACGAAAGCUAGGGGAGCAAACAGG
rnacentral:rRNA from 1 species